rnacentral:lncRNA from 1 species
AGCCCGCAACGUUUUACCCAUAAUAUGCGACAUGUAAGGAAAAAUUCGUAACAAAGCUUCUAGUGCUAUACGAAACAUCCUCAAAAAUACACUAAAUAGAUCUCGGAAAGCCAACAGUUCACAAAGCACUAUGAAGGAAAACGCUUCUUCCCAUGGAAAAAUUUACACGACACCUCAGUCCUAAUUCCUCGAUCGCAAAUCAAAUUAUUAGCAUCCAAAUAGGAACAACAAUUUUGGCUGCGAACAUCCGUAGUCAAA